CCUACGGGGUGCAGCAGUGGGGGAUAUUGCACAAUGGGGGAAACCCUGAUGCAGCGACGCCGCGUGGGUGAAGAAGCGCCUCGGCGCGUAAAGCCCUGUCAGCAGGGAAGAAAAUGACGGUACCUGAAGAAGAAGCCCCGGCUAACUACGUGCCAGCAGCCGCGGUAAUACGUAGGGGGCAAGCGUUAUCCGGAUUUACUGGGUGUAAAGGGGGCGCAGACGGCGAUGCAAGCCAGGAGUGAAAGCCCGGGGCCCAACCCCGGGGCUGCUCUUGGAACUGCGUGGCUAGAGUGCAGGAGGGGCAGGCGGAAUGCCUGGUGUAGCGGUGAAAUGCGUAGAUAUCAGGAGGAACACCGGUGGCGAAGGCGGCCUGCUGGACUGCAACUGACGUUGAGGCCCGAAAGCGUGGGGAGCAAACAGGAUUAGAUACCCGGGUAGUC
rnacentral:rRNA from 1 species